GCUCGAGUGGCGGAAUGGCAGACGCGCUAGCUUGAGGUGCUAGUGGAGCGAUCCGUGGGAGUUCGAGUCUCCCCUCGAGCACCA
rnacentral:tRNA from 1 species